GGUUUACCUGGUAGUUAGAAAUGC
rnacentral:siRNA from 1 species